CAGCAAGCCCAGCCAAAGUCAACGGCAGCUGUGGCUGCUCAGCACUUUGGAAAACCAGGCUGUUAGUUAGUUGCCUAGGGCCACAUCGUGAGUCAGUGGCACAGAACAGGAACGGAACUCACUGUUAUCACUCAGCACCCUUCUUGAAUUGUGGACAGCAGCACUGGACACAGUAUUCCAGCAGCACUUGACCAGUGUCAUAUACAAAGGACAUAUAACCUCUCUUCUCCUAUGCAAGAUUCCUAUUUAUACAUUCAAGGAUCACAUUAGCCCUUUUGGACGUUGUGUCGCAAUGGGGGCUCGUAUUCAGCUGAUUAUCCACCAUGACCCCCAAGUCUUUUUCAGAGUCACUGCUUUCCAGGAUAGUCCCCCAUCUUGUUAUUGAUAAAAAUUUUAAACAGCAUAGCACCAAGAACAAAUCCCUUCAGAACCUCAUUCGAAACAUGCCCUCCUGAUGAAUUUCCAUUUACUAUUACAUUUUGAAACCUAUCCGUUAACUAGUUUUUAAUCCAUUUGUGCCAUGUUGAUU